AAGAACACAGUGCCUGAAGCUCCAUGAUAAAAAUGAUAAAAAUGGGAGGUUUUUAAUCUUUGCAAAGUUAAUCAGGACAAUAUUUUUUACAGAUAUGCUGCCUGAGCCACCUCAUGGGAACUCAGACUGUGAUCCCAUACUAUAUCGAAACGAAAGAGGCAAGCAUGGCAGGUAAUCUAAGCAGAGCAUAGUGGAAAAGUUUUUAGCAAAAUGAAAACUCCUUUAGAUAUUGGCAAAUGCAGUUUACAAAGCGUGAAAGAAGAAAUACUACGCUUACAGCGGGAUUUCAUGAUAUAAUCCCUGCUUAUUAUAGAGUAUCUCAGCCUGUCCUUCAAGGAGAGUAUCCUGUUGAAUGGCUGUCAAAGGACAAAACAAGAACCAACAGAUCUGAGCUGCAGAGAUUUACAUGUGAUCUGAUGGUGUGAUCUACGUCAGUUUAGCUGAAUUGUGCAAGCUCCCCAGUGGAAAUUUAAACAGGUAUGUUUUCUCCUAUUUACCACCAUCCCUUUAAAUUAAUGCAAUUCCUGUCUUUAAGUGAGGCCUUUCCUUCUAUUUUCUUCUUUCAAUCUUCUCAUCAUC
rnacentral:lncRNA from 1 species